GAUGAACGCUGGCGGCGUGCCUAAUACAUGCAAGUCGAGCGAACAGAUGAGGAGCUUGCUCCUCUGACGUUAGCGGCGGACGGGUGAGUAACACGUGGAUAACCUACCUAUAAGACUGGGAUAACUUCGGGAAACCGGAGCUAAUACCGGAUAAUAUAUUGAACCGCAUGGUUCAAUAGUGAAAGACGGUUUUGCUGUCACUUAUAGAUGGAUCCGCGCCGCAUUAGCUAGUUGGUAAGGUAACGGCUUACCAAGGCAACGAUGCGUAGCCGACCUGAGAGGGUGAUCGGCCACACUGGAACUGAGACACGGUCCAGACUCCUACGGGAGGCAGCAGUAGGGAAUCUUCCGCAAUGGGCGAAAGCCUGACGGAGCAACGCCGCGUGAGUGAUGAAGGUCUUCGGAUCGUAAUACUCUGUUAUUAGGGAAGAACAAAUGUGUAAGUAACUAUGCACGUCUUGGCGGUACCUAAUCAGAAAGCCACGGCUAACUACGUG
rnacentral:rRNA from 1 species